rnacentral:rRNA from 1 species
AAACAGAGGAUGCAAGCGUUAUCCGGAAUUAUUGGGCGUAAAGUGUCUGUAGGUGGCUUUUCAAGUCCGUCGUCAAAUCCCAGGGCUCAACCCUGGACAGGCGGUGGAAACUAUCAAGCUAGAGUACGGUAGAGGCAGAGGGAAUUUCCGGUGGAGCGGUGAAAUGCGUUGAGAUCGGGAGGAACACCAAGGGCGAAAGCACUCUGCUGGGCCGUUACUGACACUCAGAGACGAAAGCUAGGGGAGCAAAUGGGAUUAGAUACCCCAGUAGUCCUAGCCGUAAACGAUGGAUACUAGGUGCUGUGCGUAUCGACCCGUAUAGUACUGCAGCUAACGCGUUAAGUAUCCCGCCUGGGAAGUACGUUCGCAAGAAUGAA